ensembl:lncRNA
UGCUUGGGAUGCGAUGUUUGAGUGACUGAUGUUCGUCCCCGUUGAAUUUAAUGUUUAAAUAUUACGCUCGCUGAGGAGCGACAGGUGUUUUAGGCCCGACAGGUGCGGGGAUUUCCACCCGACAGCUGUUGGUGGGAGUGAAGAUGUGGUGAAGAAGGAAGAAGCUCAGAAGGAUGAGAUCUCAUGGCCCUGGAACAAGAACAAGGAUAAGGAGGGCAGCAAGGGAAAGUCCGGCAAAGACGACAAAAAGCACGAAUCUGGCAAGGACAAGUCCGACAAGAAGCACGAAUCUGGCAAGGACAAGUCCGACAAGAAGCACGAAUCUGGCAAGGACAAGUCCGACAAGAAGCACGAAUCUGGGAAGGACAAGUCCGACAAGAAGCACGAAUCUGGGAAGGACAAGUCCGACCAAAAGCACAAGUCAAAGGACGGGGAACACAAGAAGAAAAGGGACAAAGGUGAAGGAAACCAAUCUGGCUCUUCCUCAUCGUCGUCCUCCAGCAGUGACGAGGAGUGAUGCUUCCAGCGCCGAUGGUCUCUUCUAACCUCGUCUGUGAAGCAAAGUGACUGUGUGCAGUUGUACCGACGUUCCUUCCUCUUGUUGAUGUAUAAAUAAACCUGAUUGAACGCUGCUUCUCGCCAUAAACUUCCUGUGUUGCUUAAAGUGUGUUUAUUCCACCACAGCGGCGUGAAAAACCCUCACCAAGGUCGCUGUUUGUCGCUGCACGCGUUUAUAAUUGUCCGGAUCGUGUUGAGAUAACCCCCCCAAAAAAUGAGUAGUCUGUCUUUAGAAAAUGUACAUGAAUAAAUCAGUUAAAAAAAAAUGAUUAGAAAGCUACAAAACUUCAGAACAGUCGUCAUGCUGCGGACGACGUUUCAUCUCCACCUGUAGGCGUGUGUUCUGAGCAACGCGUGGAUCCUCAUCCUGCUCCAACGUUUGUCUGUUAAAAGGAACAGGAUGCUGCUGUCAGGCCCGACGGCAUUUUGCCCUCAAGAGAAAAUAAUUAAAGUGGACAUGUUUUUGUUCCAAAGCAAACAUGUUGUAUAAUGUGAACGUUCAGUCCCAGCCUUCUCCAGGGUGGAGUAGGAGUAGCAUUCUACCCCUCAUAACCGUAACACUACACUGGGUGAACGCUCAAGGGGAGCGGCGGUUUGGGGGGCGGGGUUAGGCUUGAAUCACAUGCUUGAGGUGUGGCUAAUCCAGGUACUUAAGUUUGAGUCCGUGUGGUCACUGUGGUUUGUGAACAGGAGACACGAUGGAUCGCGCAGGUAAAAAGGACAAGGGAGAGUCCAAGGGGAAGAAGGACGACAAAGCGUCCAAGGAGAAGGGCGGCAAAGACAAAAAGAAGGACGAGGAGAAGAAGAAGAAGAAGGCGAAGCCUGAAGGGAAAGGCUCCGGCUCCUCAUCUUCAGACUCUGACGAGUGAUGUUGAGGCGGGAAGGACAUCUCGUCUCUCGCGAUCACGUCCACAAACAAAAUGAGUCCUGAGUAGCGCCAAAAGUGUCGUGCUUGUGUGAACAGACAUGCUGAUUCUGUCAAAAUAAAGUUCAUUUUCUCACCACAAGAUU